rnacentral:misc_RNA from 1 species
CAGCUAUACAGGGUAUGAAGGGUUAGACUUAAGCUGGAAAAUAAGAGCUUGUUCAGAGGAACUGUGUCUUGUGAUAUAUGAUCAACCUUCUGCAACAGAAGAUUCAGCUGCAUAAUCCAAGCGAAUCCGAACUGGCAAAGGCCUCGCGAUGAGACUGUCAGUUACCCAACCUGCUACUUCACCAUCAGUUUUGACAUGGUUAAACUCUCUCUCAACAUACUCCAAAG